CCUACGGGGGGCUGCAGUGGGGAAUAUUGGACAAUGGGCGCAAGCCUGAUCCAGCAAUGCCGCGUGUGUGAAGAAGGCCUUCGGGUUGUAAAGCACUUUUGUUAGGGAGGAAAGUCUGGUAGCUAAUAACUGCUAGAUCUGACGUUACCUAAAGAAUCAGCACCGGCUAACUCUGUGCCAGCAGCCGCGGUAAUACAGAGGGUGCAAGCGUUAAUCGGAAUUACUGGGCGUAAAGGGUGUGUAGGCGGAUUAUUAAGUCAGAUGUGAAAUCCCCGGGCUCAACCUGGGAACGGCAUUCGAUACUGGUAGUCUAGAGUGUGCAAGAGGAUGGGGGAAUUCCUGGUGUAGCAGUGAAAUGCGUAGAGAUCAGGAGGAACAUCAAUGGCGAAGGCACCUUUCUGGGGCAACACUGACGCUGAGAGACGAAAGCGUGGGGAGCAAACAGGCUUAGAUACCCUUGUAGUC
rnacentral:rRNA from 1 species